CUUGGCUUGCCCUGCAGCUGCAGACGAGAUAGGAACUGUCUCACAGAAGCUCACUGUGAAGAGACACAACCAGACAGAUCUGAAGAGCACUC